CGUUGUUGCUUCUAGACGUUUCCACUUCACAAUAACAGCACUUACAGUUGACCGGAGCAGUUCUUGCAGGGCAGACAUUUGACGAACUGACUUGUUGGAAAGGUGGCAUCCUAUGACUUUGCCACCUUGAAAGUCAUAGAGCUCUUCGGUAAUGCCAUUCUACUGCUAAUGUUUGUCUAUGGAGAUUGCAUUGCUGUUUGCUUGAUUUUAAACACCCAUCAGCUAUGAGUGUGGCUGAAAUAGCCGAAUCCACUAAUUUGAAGGGGUGUUCACAUACUUAUGUAUAUAUAGUGUAUGUUGCUAGCUAGCUAAGUUGCUAACACGUGUUGCUAGUCACCACAAAGUAAUAUAUUAUUUGUUUGCCAUUCCUGGAACUAGAUGGUGUUUUUAGCUUAGCUACCACUGUAAUUGUUAUAUUAUCCUGUCCUACGGUUUUGUUUGUUUUGCAAUUCUGUUUUUCAUUAUAACGUUAUGAUGAGAAAUAGUAGAUUUUCCACACUUUUUUAUAGUGCUAUUGAUUGCAUAAAAUGACUUGCCCUAGUUAAGGUCCAUAAGUUGGACACAGCCCCAGCCAGAGACAUAUAUAUACAUACAUGUCUCUGGCCCUAGCUGGAGCAUGAGUUGUAAUGACAACAAACUGGCCCAACCUUUACAUUAUUUACGUUAAAACAUUUAGAAUAUCAGAUCUUGCCAUUAAUUGACAUGUAAUGACUGACCUUUUUAUUCCAGCCAACAUCACCAAUCACUCUCUGUUUAUACAGUACUUGCCUGGGAGGGAAUGGAAGAAAGUAAGGGGUGGUGGAACAGACAUGAGGAUAGGACAAUCAACCAUACUGUCACGGAUUUUAUCCUCGUUCAAUUUCUCACAUCUUUUAUCUUUGUAUCCUUUUCACACUCUUUUCAAUGUUCCUCCACUCAUGCCUCCUACAAUGAUACAAGGAGAGACUAAAUUAGGACUCAUUUAAAUGUUUUGUUUUGUUAUUCUGUUACACAUCUUCCAGGAGAUCCACGAAGCCAUGUGGAGGAUUCCAAACAGGCCAAGGACCGGGUAGAGAAGAGUGUCCAAACAGAAGACAUUCAACUUUAGAACCCAACGGGUCCAGCAGACUGUCAAGCGGCGUGAAGAUAAACAGAUCAUAUACAAAGACUCAGACUUCGAGGAGGACAAGCCCGGACUAGAACCCGAUCGAACAUCUAUGGAGAGACCUGGCAAUAGCUGUGCGUGCGGUGACGCUCCCCAUCCAACCUGACAGAGCUUGAGAAGGUCUGCAGAGAAGAAUGGGAGAAACUCCCCAAUUACAGGGUGUAAGGACAACCACUUGGUUGACCUUUGACCCCAGUGUAUGGACGGUGCCCGGGCGGAGUGGGUACUGGAUCUUGUGUUCAUAACCGGCAAAAAGAACACCUGCCUAGAUGACAAGAGUGCUCUCACCCCAGGAGGACUCGGGCUAGGAGCCCCUGCCUUGACAUCGAGGCAGUUCAAGGAAUCGGACUUUGAGAAGGUGGUGGAGUUUAUGAUAAGGGGAUCCACAUUGACCAGGAUGUGAAGAAGAAGACCAGUAAGAAGGGAUACAUGCACAUAGCUGACACAGGCCAUGUGGACUGGCCAGACAUAGCUUAUUAUCCCAUUGCAAACUUGUACCAAACUAUAACACUUCAGUUCACUUUAUUAUGGGUUCAGCUUAGAGCAAGUCCAGAAUGGGAGAUAAAGGGAAAAGCUUGUGAAACCAAAACAGUUUUGAGGACUAUUAAAACAUUUAGAGAGAAUGACAGUAAUAUAUAGUAUAAAGACUUGACCACUCUGUAAGCUAACCAUGGUAUAUCCCUAUCCUCCGCAGGUAGCUUCCAGGACUUUAAGUCCUUCUUGCUGCAGGAUCCAGGGACAGUGGCCCGUAUCACUGACCUGUGCCAGAGGGUGGAGGAGUUCACACGGCUGUUCCCCAUGCCUGGCUUCACUGAGAGAGACACAGGGAGACUGGACUUUAGGCCCAGGUUAUGAUCCCGUCCUUCAGCCAGAUAGUGCAGUAGUUGUGUAGAUGAACAAAAGUACAAUCAUCUAAUCUGUUAGUCUUUCCAGGAGAAGAACCUUUGUUCUAAUUCUGCCAGACAUUGAUAGCUACUUAAUGGUUCAUAAGGAGAUUUUUGUAUUCCAAUUUUGCUCAAUAUUUAAUCGUAUCAAGUUACUGUGAUACUACGUUAUAAAUAGUGCAAUUCUUGUUAUACUCCUAUUCACCUGAUGUGUAGAGAAUUGACAUAGAGAUGUUUUCUCCUUCACAUUUCUCUCUGUGCGAAUUGAGCAUGUGUAUAUGUCUUGUUUAGAAGAGAGGGGGCUCUGAGAUUUCCUAAACAGAGCAGCAUUUCCUCUGAGCGUUUCCUCUCGCUGUAGACUAGUAGUGUAGUAACGGACUAGGGGUUGCUAGAAUUAGAGCAAACAGAGGAUCUCUUAGAGUCCCUGUUAGAGAUCCCCACACACAUGAACACAAAGUGAAUAUUAGUUUGUUAACCUAAACGUGUCAACCACUUUGUUUGUGGAAUCUUCUGGUGGUUGUGAGAGUAUGACAAAUUGAACUUAAAUUGAACAAAUUGAAAAUGUUGUCUGUUUUUCAGUACUAUCUCUUUCUCACUUUCCCAGAUUCCUCCAUUAUUCAUCAGGGAAAUAGAGCCUUUUCAGCUCCCUAUUACUUCUUACUGCAAUGCUUUAUCCCAGUGCAGUUAAAUGUCCCACAGGGCAGAAUAUAAGCCUGAGUGGAAGGGUUUGCAAAUUCUCAGUCAUGCCUGUUAUGUGUCAAUCAUGUUGGAUGGUCAUUUAACAUACGUGAUAUGUAUAAGUGUGUUUGCCUGUUUGUGUUUGCAUGUUUUGGUGCACAACUGCCCAUACAGAACAUCCAUACAGUGUGUGUGUGUGUGUGUGUUUGUGUGUUUGUGUGUGUGUGUGUGUGUGUGUGUGUGUGUGUGUGUGUGUGUGUGUGUGUGUGUGUGUGUGUGUGUCUUCUCUCUAUGCUUGUGCCAGAGGAUUGUGCUUCCACAGUAACAGGCCACAGUCCAGCUGUCAUAAAGGUCAGAGAAACGUUCAACUCUGCUGACAGAAAAACAAACAUCUGCUCAUCCUGCACUCAGCUCCAUCUCUUCGCCAGUUUCUCACGACCUGACAACUCUGACGCACUCUCCUCUGUUUGGUUGUGUGUGUUUGUUUACUUUGUGGC